UACGGGGGGGGCAAGCGUUGUUCGGAAUUAUUGGGCGUAAAGGGCGCGUAGGCGGUGCGGUAAGUCUUUUGUGAAAUCUCCGGGCUCAACUCGGAGUCUGCAGGAGAAACUGCCGUGCUUGAGUGUGGGAGAGGUGAGUGGAAUUCCCGGUGUAGCGGUGAAAUUCGUAGAUAUUCGGAAGAACACCAGUGGCGAAGGCGGCUCACUGGUCCGGUACUGACGCUGAGGUGCGAAAGCGUGGGGAGCAAACAGG
rnacentral:rRNA from 1 species